CGUUUGGAGCCACGCUUAGCUCAGUUUCCAGCGGUUAGCUUCUGACUAUCGGGCGGGCUUGAGCCGGGACCUGGUCUUGGGGUGGUUCCCUCUUGCCCAGGUCCAGUGUCCACUACCCGGCUCUGUCCCAAGCGAGGGCUGUUUACGUGCAUACUGUUAAGUGAGAGUGGGCAGUGCAACCACCUGCCGGCAGAGGGCGUGUUGAGUUAGAGCGGAUCAAAGUGGCCAUGGGCACAGCACUUGUGUACCACGAGGACAUGACAGCCACCCGACUGCUCUGGGAUGACCCUGAGUGCGAAAUUGAGUGCCCAGAGCGCCUGACAGCUGCCUUGGAUGGCCUGCGGCAGCGUGGCCUGGAAGAAAGGUGCCAGUGUUUGUCAGUUUGUGAGGCAUCAGAGGAAGAGUUGGGACUGGUGCACAGGUCAGACUAUGACAGGUCUAGCGACCUGAUCCUGUUAUAGCCCCGCUAGCAUCCCUUGGGUUCACCGUGGUGUGGGCUAAAAGGGAGUACUGGAUGGGCACUCCCAUCAGGAAUCUCUGCUCUUUCCUUCCUGUCCUGCUGAUCCGCAGCCCAGAAUAUAUAGCCCUGGUGCAGAAGACCCAGACCCUGGACAAAGAGGAGCUCCACACACUGUCUAAGCAGUAUGAUGCUGUCUACUUCCACCCGGUGCGAGGCAGCAUACACACCCAUUCACCCAGAUUUAUGUCCGUAUGCCUGCCUAGGUGUAUUCACACUCAAAUCUGCCCACCUGCCGGUGUCUUCUUGUUCAUGCUUUAUGACUAUACCCUGCCGUGUUUU
rnacentral:lncRNA from 1 species